rnacentral:misc_RNA from 1 species
GAUGAGAACGUAGCGAAAUGCGAUAAGUAAUGUGAAUUGCAGAAUUCAGUGAAUCAUCGAAUCUUUGAACGCACAUUGCGCCCCCUGGUAUUCCGGGGGGCAUGCCUGUUCGAGCGUCAUUACAACCCUCAAGCUCUGCUUGGUAUUGGGCCCCGCCAGUUCUGGCGGGCCCUAAAGUCAGUGGCGGUGCCUUCCGGCUCCGAGCGUAGUAAUUCUUCUCGCUCUGGAGACCCGGUUGUGUGCUUGCCAACAACCCCCAAUUUUUUAAGGUUGACCUCGGAUCAGGUAGGGAUACCCGCUGAACUUAAGCAUAUCAAUAAGCGGAGGA